UGUGUGGGAAAGAAACUGACAUUAUGCAAAUAAUUGUCAAUACCGCAAUUAACUUAUUUCAGGUUGACAAAAUCUAUAUGGAAAGUUGGUAAUUGUUUCAUAAUUGAUUAAAUUCAUAUAUUCUACAAUAGUUAUCAAAGGUACCAGGAUUAUAAUUUAGUACGCUAGACGCGCGUUUCGUCUACAUAAAGACUCAUCAGUGACGCUCAAAUCAAAAUAUUUAUAUAGCCAAAUAAGUACAAACAAGUACAAAGUUGAAGAGCAUUGAGGAUUCAAAAUUCCAAAAAGUUGUGCCAAAUACGGCUAAGGUAAUCUAUGCCUGAGAUAAGAAAUUCCUUAGUUUUUCUACAAAUCAGGCCAAAAUUCAUUUUUUUAUUUAAUAUUUAAAUGUUAAAAAUAAAUCUAAGACAUACACAUGAACUUGUAAACGUACACUUGCAUAAAGUUGAUUUCUAUCUGAUGCAGCUCAUAUUAUAC
rnacentral:lncRNA from 1 species